UACGAAGGGGGCUAGCGUUGCUCGGAAUGACUGGGCGUAAAGGGCGCGUAGGCGGAUCCCGCCGUCGGGCGUGAAAUCCCCGGGCUCAACCCGGGGCGGUCGCCCGAGACUCGGGGUCUGGAGUGGGGGAGAGGGUCGCGGAAUUCCCAGUGUAGAGGUGUAAUUCGUAGAUAUUGGGAAGAACACCGGUGGCGAAGGCGGCGACCUGGCCCUCGACUGACGCUGAGGCGCGACAGCGUGGGGAGCAAACAGG
rnacentral:rRNA from 1 species